rnacentral:rRNA from 1 species
AGCAGCAGCCGCGGUAAUACGAAGGGGGCUAGCGUUGUUCGGAAUUACUGGGCGUAAAGGGCGCGUAGGCGGCCAUUCAAGUUAGAUGUGAAAGCCCUGGGCUCAACCUAGGAAUUGCAUUUGAUACUGUUUGGCUUGAGUUCGGGAGAGGUGAGUGGAAUUCCCAGUGUAGAGGUGAAAUUCGUAGAUAUUGGGAAGAACACCAGUGGCGAAGGCGGCUCACUGGACCGACACUGACGCUGAGGCGCGAAAGCGUGGGGAGCAAACAGGAUUAGAUACCCCAGUAGUCCCUGUCUCUUAUAC